GUACACUCCUGCGGGAGGCAGCAGUGGGGAAUCUUGCGCAAUGGGCGAAAGCCUGACGCAGCCAUGCCGCGUGAAUGAUGAAGGUCUUAGGAUUGUAAAAUUCUUUCACCGGGGACGAUAAUGACGGUACCCGGAGAAGAAGCCCCGGCUAACUUCGUGCCAGCAGCCGCGGUAAUACGAAGGGGGCUAGCGUUGCUCGGAAUUACUGGGCGUAAAGGGAGCGUAGGCGGACAUUUAAGUCAGGGGUGAAAUCCCGGGGCUCAACCUCGGAAUUGCCUUUGAUACUGGGUGUCUUGAGUAUGAGAGAGGUGUGUGGAACUCCGAGUGUAGAGGUGAAAUUCGUAGAUAUUCGGAAGAACACCAGUGGCGAAGGCGACACACUGGCUCAUUACUGACGCUGAGGCUCGAAAGCGUGGGGAGCAAACAGGAUUAGAUACCCCAGUAGUCCCAUGAU
rnacentral:rRNA from 1 species